CACCAUUUUAUUACUUCGGGUAGUACGCUGCAAACACAUGAUUAUGGCUGGCCAGGUAGAAAGCUAUACCCUGAGCUUCUGACAGGCUAAGAACUCUAUCUGAUGCAUCCAGAUGCUAUUAUUCUAUCCCAUCCCUCUGGUUCAUCUGCCUCCUUUGCACAUUCCCAGAUGAAGCUCUCAACCUAACAGGUUUGUCUGGGAGUGGACGAGUGGCUGGGACCAUCAGACAUUACUUUGCCAUGAAGAUGGAAGAAGAAUCAUAACAGAGGAGAUUCCUACUGUAUCAAGUGUCAGAAAAGGACAUCGCCUUCCCUCUAAUGGGAAAGAGAGAAGACAGAAUGAAGUUCAGCCAACUACUUCCUCAUCUGUUCUUGCAGUAGGGUCCCAUCAUUAGGCAAAUUGCGUGAAAAAUGCAUCUACUGUUCUGGAACUGGAAACUGUGAUGAAAGCAUUGUGGGAGGCAAUGAGAAGACUAACUAACUGCUGUGUCUGCCUUCUUUCUACAUGGUUUAUUGCUUCCUAAGCAGAUUGUUAUACCUCUUAUCUUCUGCAGUGCACCGGCAUUAAAGCAAAAGACAGUCCUGCUCUAAGAAGCUGAAUAGAGAAGGGUAGCUUUGUUCUGCAGAAGACUGUGAUAUUUCAGAAUGUGGUUUCUUUCUGUCUGGAAAAAAACUUCUCUUUAGAAAAAGGGCAUGACUACAGCUCCUAAGAUCUGCAUGAGGUGGACUGCCCUAGAAUCAUGAGCCAAGAGAGUCCCCACCCAGCGGGCUACCCCAUAGAUGAGGACGCAGCCAUCAGGGAAGAAUGUGCUUGGACACCCUUGAGAGCCACGGCUUGCAGCACUUCCCAGAUCUCUGCCAAGGAACCAGGUCAGCAAAUAGUCAGGAAGCUGGGUAGAGUUCUCGUUAAAACACUAAGUUUUGAUGACUCAGCAAACGCUCAAUUAAAAACAUAUCAGAAUUUUUCCAACCAGCCC
ensembl:lncRNA